UACAAACAAAAACAAAUUAAUAAUAGUGUGGUAACGGGAUUACUGUGUUCAGUCAUGCACGAUUUGAAUUCAAAAAACGUUACCGAAGAUCUGCAGUUUUUGUACAUUUUAAUACAUGGCUGUAAGUGGUUGUACAUCACUAGUGUACCACUUUUGCUGUUAAUCAAAGCCUGUGAACAAAUAGUACAGUAACUUGAAGAAUGAGCAUGUAAUGCGAUGCAGAUUCAUGUUACACUCCAGGACUGCCAUGUGAGAGAGUCUGCUAUACCUGGCCAAUGAGAUGAAGUUGUACCACUUCCAUCAGUCCAGACAUUUGUCAAAGAAGUGCAGU